rnacentral:rRNA from 1 species
AGGGUUUGAUCAUGGCUCAGAUUGAACGCUGGCGGCAGGCCUAACACAUGCAAGUCGAGCGAGAAAGUACUUCGGUACGAGUACAGCGGCGGACGGGUGAGUAACGCGUAGGAAUCUACCCGGUAGUGGGGGACAACUUGUGGAAACGCAAGCUAAUACCGCAUACGCCCUAAGGGGGAAAGCGGGGGAUCUUCGGACCUCGCGCUAUCGGAUGAGCCUGCGUAAGAUUAGCUAGUUGGUGGGGUAAAGGCCUACCAAGGCGACGAUCUUUAGCUGGUCUGAGAGGAUGAUCAGCCACACUGGAACUGAGACACGGUCCAGACUCCUACGGGAGGCAGCAGUGGGGAAUAUUGCGCAAUGGGCGAAAGCCUGACGCAGCCAUGCCGCGUGUGUGAAGAAGGCCCUAGGGUUGUAAAGCACUUUCAAUUGGGAAGAAAAGCUGCUGGUUAAUAGCCAGUAGCCCUGACAUUACCUUUAGAAGAAGCACCGGCUAACUCCGUGCCAGCAGCCGCGGUAAUACGGAGGGUGCGAGCGUUAAUCGGAAUUACUGGGCGUAAAGCGCGCGUAGGCGGUUAGUUAAGUCAGCUGUGAAAGCCCUGGGCUCAACCUGGGAACUGCAGUUGAUACUGGCCAACUAGAGUGCAAGAGAGGGAGGUAGAAUUCCACGUGUAGCGGUGAAAUGCGUAGAUAUGUGGAGGAAUACCGGUGGCGAAGGCGGCCUCCUGGCUUGACACUGACGCUGAGGUGCGAAAGCGU